rnacentral:rRNA from 1 species
CUCCGGGGAUAACAGGCUGAUACCGCCCAAGAGUUCAUAUCGACGGCGGUGUUUGGCACCUCGAUGUCGGCUCAUCACAUCCUGGGGCUGUAGUCGGUCCCAAGGGUAUGGCUGUUCGCCAUUUAAAGUGGUACGCGAGCUGGGUUCAGAACGUCGUGAGACAGUUCGGUCCCUAUCUGCCAUGGGCGUUGGAGAUUUGAGAGGGGCUGCUCCUAGUACGAGAGGACCGGAGUGGACGAACCUCUGGUGUUCCGGUUGUCACGCCAGUGGCAUUGCCGGGUAGCUAUGUUCGGAAGCGAUAACCGCUGAAAGCAUCUAAGCGGGAAGCGCGCCUCAAGAUGAGAUCUCCCGGGGCACAAGCCCCCUGAAGGAACCAUGUAGACUACGUGGUUGAUAGGUCAGGUGUGUAAGUACAGCAAUGUAUUGAGCUAACUGAUACUAAUGAUCCGUGCGGCUUGACCAUAUAACCUCA